AAUAGGUUGAAGCCAUCCCAAAUUAAGUCAAGUUGUUUUCAAGCCGCGCAUCAUUCAUUUUCUAUUUCCGCCACUGCCAGUGGUGACAGAAGAAAGAGAAGCAGCUGAUACUCAGCUCUCAUCUCUCUCGUCUAUGAUGUCUCACAACAAGUGCAAGUAGCAAUGGAGAACAUGCUUAAGAUGACUAAAUCAGAGCUCAAGCGGAAUAAUAGAAGAAAUUGAAAAGUGCAAGGAGUCUGCAACUGAAAAGAAGAAAAUGUUAGACAAGAAAAAGAACGUUUCCAGAAAGCUGCUUACAUGGCUUUAGAUAUGCUCAACAACACUGUAAGAUAUGUUUCUUAUCAUUUCUCUGUCUUAAAGAAAUUUCAUUUCAUAGUGAAGUGAAGUGUUUCAUGACACAUAUCAGUCAUUGUAAUCUUGCUCCCUGUUUUAUCCAUUUUUUUCUCUGCA